rnacentral:rRNA from 1 species
CACGUAGGGCGCGAGCGUUGUCCGGAAUUAUAGGGCGUAAAGAGCUCGUAGGCGGCCUGUUGCGUCCGCUGUGAAAGCCCGGGGCUUAACCCCGGGUCGGCAGUGGAUACGGGCAGGCUAGAGGUAGGUAGGGGAGAAUGGAAUUCCCGGUGUAGCGGUGAAAUGCGCAGAUAUCGGGAGGAACACCGGUGGCGAAGGCGGUUCUCUGGGCCUUACCUGACGCUGAGGAGCGAAAGCGUGGGGAGCGAACAGG